rnacentral:lncRNA from 1 species
UUGGGCAUAUUUAUAUGCUUAGGAACCAAAUAGCACCCAUGUUUUGGCCGAGUUUGGAAAUGAAUUUGCUAGUUGUUAGUAGUGUCGAGUCAUAUUAACUCAUUUAGACUAACCAAUAUGAUUAUUUGUGCAGGUGAUAAUAAAAGAAGAAACGAGCACAAAAGUGGAAAUUGGGAAGCAAGAGGGGAUCCAAGCAAAAGAGCAAUAAGGAAGUUGAGACAAAAAUUAAGAACUAGGAC